rnacentral:lncRNA from 1 species
UACUUUUCAGAGAAAAUGAGUCGUAUUUAUUCCUGUCAUCCACUAACACAGUACUCAAUUUGAUUCAUGGCGCCUAGGCACGACUUGUUUCAGAUUAAGAAUUAUCUACUUGAUGUGCAACUUUCUAUAACUUGAAUUGUUUAUUCCGUUGAUCAUUUCAUAUAUUGUGCAGCCAAAACCAACAGAUGGAACAAGUUCUCCUAUUCUUGACCGUUACAUGUAACGAUAAAGAAAUCUUCACCAAAGCAGAGGGAUUCGAGCCUGGCAGUUUCCUGGAAAGACUGAUGAAGGAAGAUGUUGACUCCAGAUGGAAAAAGGGAACACGGUUGAUUGGUGUGUGUGUGGGUGGGUGACACUAUUCUCUUUUUCUUGUCACUAGUCAACAAUUUGUGGCCCUUAUUGGAUGGAAAAUUUGGAAGAAAGCCGCCAAGGAUGACUGCUUCAACGCGUGGUUUAUUUAGAGCAUGGUUAAUAGUAUAGCCAACUGCUGGCUAUAAGCAGUCUUAUAGUCCAUCUUAUAGCUAGCUUGUACAAUAGUUAGCUAUAAAAGAGUACUACUUUUAUCAUAUAUGGCCCAUCUUUCAUUCUUACAAAGCAUCUAGGAGCACGUGCUAGAGCGGGCUUUUCACGAAGAGCCCGCUUCACUUCUCUCUCAUCCAACUUAGUAAAAAUAUAGUAUUUUAAUCCUUACAGCCUGCUGAUUGUACCUUAUUGUACUUGCUCUUAUUGAUUGAUCGAAGAGACUGAGUUAACAGGUGCAUGCACACAUGUCCCAGUUCAGUUCC